GUUGUCCAGUAAGGGAUUUGUGUAGUGUGUCUCAAGCAUGUAAUAACGUGGUCCAGACUCUGGAUCAAGGGCAUAUCCAGCUUCGGGGGGAUAAUUGAAGCCCUGGAAAAUAAGACUUUGUUUAUUUCUGAUGGCCGAUCAAAGUGAAAUACGAUGUCGGGGGAGAAGACGAAAUGGAGGGGGGCAACGGACGACCGAACGUGCCUUUGGUCUCAAGAACCUGAUGACGUUCGAAUGAGGGUGAGCAGGAGAAGUUGGAAGGCGUGAGGUUGAGUGUAUUGGUGACAAAAGCCACGGGUUGCUCUCACUGGUAUCUCCACCAACGGGAGAGCUCACGUUUCUGACGACAGAGCAAUUGCGGUGGCUUUUGCGGUCGUUGAAGGCUUUCAUUGGUAUGCAUUAAACGAUCCACAGGAUUAUUACCGAGUACGUUAUACCAUCAAAAUCGAUUGGAGAGAGAGUCUAUUUGUUUUUUUAGGUGGCUUUGUUGGUAAUUUACCUCCGAUCCUAGGUUCCACGUGGCUGCUAUUGAAGUACACAGGAGUGAUGGAUGGUCACCCUGAUAGCAGACUGUACCAUUGGUUGCUGCCUCCAAGUCCGAUUCCUU